AUAUUUACUUGGCAGAAAAGUUACCAUGAUCAAACUUUGUGGUUUUCCAAGGGUGAGGCUCAUGCAUUGCACAGCGGAUGUGCUUACCCCUGCGAUUUUCCCAGAUAUGGGAAAUUCCACUGCAUAGUUUAUUGUAGUGGGGAGCUCCACGCUUUUUCCUA
rfam:Loxodonta africana unplaced genomic scaffold scaffold_127, whole genome shotgun sequence.